AUUGAACGCUGGCGGCAUGCCUUACACAUGCAANUCGAACGGCAGCACGGAGCUUGCUCUGGUGGCGAGUGGCGAACGGGUGAGUAAUAUAUCGGAACGUACCCUGGAGUGGGGGAUAACGCAGCGAAAGUUGCGCUAAUACCGCAUACGAUCUACGGAUGAAAGUGGGGGAUCGCAAGACCUCAUGCUCGUGGAGCGGCCGAUAUCUGAUUAGCUAGUUGGUAGGGUAAAAGCCUACCAAGGCAUCGAUCAGUAGCUGGUCUGAGAGGACGACCAGCCACACUGGGACUGAGACACGGCCCAGACUCCUACGGGAGGCAGCAGUGGGGGAAUUUUGGGACAAUGGGGGGCAACCCCUGAUCCAGCAAUGCCCGCGUGAGUGAAGAAAGGCCCUUCCGG
rnacentral:rRNA from 1 species